rnacentral:rRNA from 1 species
UACGUAGGGUGCGAGCGUUAAUCGGAAUUACUGGGCGUAAAGCGUGCGCAGGCGGUUGUGCAAGACAGAUGUGAAAUCCCCGGGCUUAACCUGGGAACUGCAUUUGUGACUGCACGGCUAGAGUAGGCAGAGGGGGAUGGAAUUCCGCGUGUAGCAGUGAAAUGCGUAGAUAUGCGGAGGAACACCGAUGGCGAAGGCAGUCCCCUGGGCCUGUACUGACGCUCAUGCACGAAAGCGUGGGGAGCAAACAGG